AUUGAACGCUGGCGGCAGGCCUAACACAUGCAAGUCGGACGGUAGCACAGAGAGCUUGCUCUCGGGUGACGAGUGGCGGACGGGUGAGUAAUGUCUGGGGAUCUGCCCGAUAGAGGGGGAUAACCACUGGAAACGGUGGCUAAUACCGCAUAACGUCGCAAGACCAAAGAGGGGGACCUUCGGGCCUCUCACUAUCGGAUGAACCCAGAUGGGAUUAGCUAGUAGGCGGGGUAAUGGCCCACCUAGGCGACGAUCCCUAGCUGGUCUGAGAGGAUAACCAGCCACACUGGAACUGAACCACGGUCCAGACUCCUACGGGAGGCAGCAGUGGGGAAUAUUGCACAAUGGGCGCAAGCCUGAUGCAGCCAUGCCGCGUGUAUGAAGAAGGCCUUCGGGUUGUAAAGUACUUUCAGCGGGGAGGAAGGCGAUGUGGUUAAUAACCGCGUCGAUUGACGUUACCCGCAGAAGAAGCACCGGCUAACUCCGUGCCAGCCGCCGCGGUAA
rnacentral:rRNA from 1 species